ensembl:lncRNA
AUCUGGGAGCUAGCAAAUCUAAAAGUAUGGUGCUGGCAUCUGUUGAGAGUCAUCAUUCUAUAGCAGAAAGGGAAAAAAAGCCAACAAUUCCAAGUGAUUGCCUCAUUUUCUCCAUUGUAUUAAGAAUUUCAAGCUUAAGAAUUUGGAAUUUGAAAGAAGAUGGCUGGAAUACUGACCUGGUAAAUGAAGCUGGGAUAGCCAUUCUUUGCCUUAAAGUAGAAUCCAUGUCCUAGAAUUGCACUAAAAUCAUCUAGAAGGAGCCUUUAUACCUAUAAAUCAAAGAAUUUCUAGAUUAUCCCUAAAUGCCUAUCUCUGGAUUUUGUUUAUAUGAGACAACAUUAUUUUAUGUUAUUUGAAAUAAGAUUUGAUUGGGUUUUCUGUUAGAAGAGCUGAAUUAUAUCAAGGCAGAUAUCCCCAAGUAUUUUAUAGUUAAUUAUGCAGAAAUUAGAAAAGAUAUUUUCUAUCUAGCUACAGGGGUAGAUUUUGUAUCAGUGGGUGGAAGCUAUAUGGAAACAUGUUUGACUGACAGUAACACCUUUCUUAUGCUUAGUGUCAUCUUAAUAAGAAAGGAAUAGAUAUUUGCCUACGUUAGUGGCUGUUUAACUGAUAUAAAUUAACCCUUCUCUUGACUAAGACUAAGAAGGUGUCCAUAAUAUUAUAAAACAACUAAUUAGAAACAGUACAGAGUAUUGAAUAAUAUAGAAUAACUGUGGUAAAUACCUAUGGGACUAAGAUCUGAGAAAACAUGGAAACUCAUGAGUAUGAAUUCAGUAUUUAUUAGGAAAACUAUUUCUUAAGAGGAACCAGCUGGCUCUGGAAGAUGCUUUAAAAUACAAACAAAAUAAAAUAGGUCUUGAGAAUUAUACGAGGCUAAAGCACAAAAAUUGGGAGUUAAAUGUUGUUAAGAAGGAAGCACUCUGAUAAAACUUUCACCCUUUGGAAUGAGAAACUAAAGAGCUACAUUCUAAGAAUAGGACACUGGAAAUGUCUUUCCUCUCAGUAAUGGUAACACAGUUAUCAACUUAUUUCUACAUUUAUAACUGAAUUUAGGUAAUUGGAGGUUACCAGUGCCCCUAAACAUUUGAUAGAAUAAAAAGCCAAUCUCUUCAGAAGAAAAAAACCCUUUUGUCCUGAAAUUAAUGUUAUUAUUGCUUUCCACACAAAAUAGCCUAAACUAAAUGAAAAGAAAUCAGUGACAUAGUGAAACAAGAAAACAACACUAGCUAGAAACAAAAGAGAAUGCUAGACUUUAGAAAGAGAUGCAUAGGAGUAAAAAUAAUUGUAUUAUAAGGCACAGACUUAAACUACACUUAAAUUUUCAAACAUAUAACGUAUAAAAAUCAAGUUGCAAAUGUGCAAGUAUAAAAUAUAGUUGAAAAGAAUCUAGAACUGAAGUACAACAUAAAUUAACAAUUUAGUGGAUGUUUUAAGUUUAGAUUAGACACAAGAGAAGAUGUAUUUAGUGAAAUGGAAGAUAAGUAAGAAAAUUGGACAUAAUAAAGCACAGAGGAACAAAUAAGGUUAGAGACAGAGUGGAUAUAGCAAAAAAAGUCUAAUAUAUAUGUAUUUGGAAUUCCAGCAGAAAAGAAUAGAAGAAAUGGAACAAAAGCAAAAAUUUUAAAGACAAUGACUGAGAAUUAGUCAAAAGAGAUGACUGAAUGAUUCAGAGUCAAAAGAACCUAUGCAACAGAAGUAGGGGGAAAAAUAAUAAAACACAAGAAAAUACACCUAGGCAUUUCAGAGUCAAAAUAAAUUCAUUAAAACAAAACAUAAAAUCGACAAAUUAUUCAAAAAUAAUAAUUGCAAAGAAGAAAUAAUUAGGCUUCCAUCUGUCUUACAGAAAACAGUAUGAAGCUUCCUCAAAAAACUAAAUAUAGAAUGACCAUAUAAUCUAGGGAUCCCACUGCAGAGCAUUAUCCAAAGGAAAUAGUAUAUCAAAAAGAUACCUGCACCCCAUGUUUAUUGCAGCAAUAUUCACAAUAACAAAUAUAUGGAACUAAGAUAAAUUUCUAUCAAUAGACAAAUGGAUAAAGAAAAUAUAGGGCAUAUACACACAACUAAAUAUUACAUGGCCAUAAAAUAUAAUGAAAUCAUUUCAUUUGCAGCAACACGUAUGGGACUAAAGGCUAUUAAGUUAGGCGAAAUAAGCCAGACCCAGAAAGACAAAUAUCACACAUUCUCAAUUAUAUGUGAGAGCUGAAAAGUUAAUCUCAUGUGGGUACGGAGUAGAACAAUAGCUAUGAGAGGCUAGGAAAGGUAGGCGGGAGAGAGUGGGGAGUUGAGAAAGGUUGCUUAGUGGGUAUAAACAUGCAAUUCAUAGGAAUAAAAUCUAGCAUUCGGUAGCACAAUAGGAUGUGACUAUAUUUCACAAUAAUUUAUUAUAUUUUUAAAAAAUAAAUAAAGGAGUGGAUUCAGAAUGUUCCAACAGAAAUAAACAAUAAAUGUUUGAGGUGAUGGAUAUCCCAAUUACUUUGAUUUGAUCAUUUCAAAUGGUAUGCUCAUAUCAAAAUAUCACAAGUAUUUCAUAAAUAUGUAUAAGUAUUAUGUAGCAUAAAAUUAUGUAAAAUAAAAA